rnacentral:lncRNA from 10 species
GCUGGGCACCAUGGUCACAGGCCUGGCAUCCCUGCUGCUCCUCGCUGGGGCCCAGUAUCUGCCAGGCUGGACUGUGCUGUUCCUCUCUGUCCUGGGGCUCCUGGCCUCCCGGGCUGUGUCCGCACUCAGCAGCCUCUUCGCGGCCGAGGUCUUCCCCACGGUGAUCAGGUGAGCUUCAGGGUUGCCCGGCCACACAGCAGGGUCCAGGGCCUCUCAUGGGGAGGAGGGGCCAGGUGGACAGGAGGCCCUGUCCCCAUACCCCACCCAGGUUCCUGCCUGUGAUUCCUCCAUCCAGUAAGGACUCGGGGUAAAGCACUGCCCUGCUCCUGGAUGGUGGGGGCCACUGCUCACAGAAGGCUCUGGGCAGACGGCUCAGGAACUGGGAAGGGGAGGGAAGGCCACGCAGGCCUGAAGCCAGGAGUGCGGGGUGGGGGCAGAGAUGAGGAGGCCUCCAGAAAUGGCAGAAUUCUCGGGGAAAGCAUCACUUUUCGAUCUUCUUCUUCUUCUUUUUUUUUUUUUUUGAGAUGGAGUCUCGCUCUGUCACCAGGCUGGAGUGCAGUGGUGUGAUCUCAGCUCACUGCAGCCUCCAACUCUCUGGUUCAAGCGAUUCUCCUGCCUCAGCCUCCUGAGUAGCUGGGAUUACAGGCACCCACCACCACGCACAACUAAUUUUUGUAUUUUUAGUAAAGACAGGGUUUCACCAUGAUAGCCAGGAUGGUCUCGAUCUCCUGACCUCAUGAUCCGCCUGCCUUGGCCUCCCAAAGUGCUGGGAUUACAGGCAUGAGCCACUGUGCCCGGCCACUUUCCAGUCUUGAACAGAGCAAAAAGUGCUCCAGGAGAGGAAGGAGGUUUUUCCAAAACAAUUUUUCAAAUUAUCCUCAGCCAGCAAACCUUAGGCUGUGCGGAGGCCGGGCCUUCCCCCUGCUCACUCUGGAGUCACAUGUGUGUCCCCCAAUCUGUUGCCCCACCAGCUGCCCCCAACGCACUCUCUCCCACAGAGGGGCCGGCCUGGGCCUGGUGCUGGGGGCCGGGUUCCUGGGCCAGGAGGCUGGCUGCCCCCAACACACUCUGU